UAUAUAAUAGUCCAUUGUUUCCUUUUCUGGGUAAAAAUGUAGAGCAGAGGGACAGCUGCUUCUUUGUCCUCAUGGUGUACUGCACAUGGUGGGAGAAAGAGUAUAUUGACCCAGAAACCUAUUAUUAAUAAUCAAAUAUAUUUCCAUUUGAAACUGGGCCAGUUAAGUUGGAUUUACGAUUGUUUUGUGCCAUUGCAUAGGGGAAAAUUAAGGCUUUUACCUUUGACAAUGCAGGACCCAAUCUUGCAAGGUGCUGAGCAGCCAUCAACUUCAAUUUGAGUCAAAGAGAACUAAGGAUGAGCAACUUGAAGGAUCAGGUGUAAUGUAGCAGCUUGUACCAGAAUGUAAAAGCUCUGAGAAAGGAGUUUUGCAAGACAGGUGGUAUCCUGUCAAGGGCUUGUCCAGGAAUAUGAAUUUUUGACAUCCAUACAACAUACCACUUCAGUCUUCUUUCUUAAUAUAUUGUCUCUUGGAGCCAAUGAAGGAUGACAGCAAACAUCUUUGAAUCUAAACAAGCUUGAAAAAGAUUCCUGCUUUCAUGAAAAUAGGAAGAAGAAGAAUAUAAAACUCUUAUGUGAGCAGCUCUCUCACUCUCACACUCUCCCUGCUAUCUUGCUUAAACAGCAAGCACUCCAAGACUCAUCCUGUCCAUCUCUAUAAGCAAGCUACCACAGACAGCUAAGAAAAAACAGAGAAGACUGAAGAAGAAACCAACCCAAGGAAAACUUUCCCAAUGCUUCAACAUGGAUUGGUAAAAGGCAAUUAACUAAGACACUGCCAAGGGAUUAGUUUUAAAACUCUUGUAAUGAUUUUAUUGGCAUAUGGAAAUACUGUUGUAAACUAAGAUACUAACAGUUGCUCCUGUUAAUCACCAAAUGAGUAGACUAUGUAUUCCUAGAGAGGAGACAGGGGCUAAACAUUGGCAAACAGAAAUAGUGAGCUUUAACUGAAUUUAAAUUUCUUAAUAUUUACCAUUGGCCUGUCUCAAGGCAGCUCCUUAAAUGGUUUCUUUUA